rnacentral:rRNA from 1 species
UGGGGAAUAUUGGACAAUGGGCGAAAGCCUGAUCCAGCCAUGCCGCGUGUGUGAAGAAGGUCUUCGGAUUGUAAAGCACUUUAAGUUGGGAGGAAGGGUUGUAGUUUAAUACGCUGCAAUCUUGACGUUACCAACAGAAUAAGCACCGGCUAACUCUGUGCCAGCAGCCGCGGUAAUACAGAGGGUGCAAGCGUUAAUCGGAAUUACUGGGCGUAAAGCGCGCGUAGGCGGCUUGAUAAGAUGGGUGUGAAAUCCCCGGGCUUAACCUGGAACUGCAUCAUAACUGUCUGGCUCGAGUACAGUAGAGGGUGGUGGAAUUUCCUGUGUAGCGGUGAAAUGCGUAGAUAUAGGAAGGAACACCAGUGGCGAGGGGCGACCACCUUGGACUGAUACUGACGCUGAGGUGCGAAA